CCCUUAGAUGUUCUGGGCCGCACGCGCGCUACACUGACGAGGUCAGCGAGCAUGUCCUACGCCGACAGGUGCGGGGAAUCUUGUCAAACUUCGUCGUGAUGGGGAUUGAUUUUUGAAAUUCUUGAUCAUAAACGAGGAAUUCCUAGUAAGCGCAAGUCAGCAGCUUGCGUUGAUUACGUCCCUGCCCUUUGUACACACCGCCCGUCGCUACUACCGAUUGAAUGGUUUAGUGAGAUCUUCGGAUUGGCGCCACUGCAGCUCAGCAAUGGGCUUGGUGGAUGCCGAAAAGUUGAUCAAACUUGAUCAUUUAGAGGAAGUAAAAGUCGUAACA
rnacentral:rRNA from 1 species